UACAGAGGGUGCGAGCGUUGUCCGGAAUCACUGGGCGUAAAGGGCGCGUAGGUGGCGACCCAAGUCGAUGGUGAAAGCUCGCCGCUCAACGGCGAGUCGGCCACCGAUACUGGGUUGCUGGAGCACUGUAGAGGCAGGCGGAAUUCCGGGUGUAGCGGUGGAAUGCGUAGAGAUCCGGAAGAACACCGGUGGCGAAGGCGGCCUGCUGGGACAGUGCUGACGCUGAGGCGCGACAGCGUGGGGAGCAAACAGG
rnacentral:rRNA from 1 species